ensembl:snRNA LOC120101115 U2 spliceosomal RNA
AUUGCUUCUCGGCCUUUUGGCUAAGAUCAAGUGUAGAAAAGGAAGACAGUAUGAAUAUGAAUGAAGAAUGAUUUUUUCUUUUACAUUUUUUUAAAAAAUGAUACCUCCA